UGGAGUCAUCGGUAGGGAUAGGCAGUGCUCUCUGAUCCCGUUUUAAGUCGUGGACAUUGUCCGGGUGGGCGUGGGGGGGUGUUGCAGUCUAUCCACAACAUAUCUCCUUGCAUGAUGUCCGUCAUCAUAAAGAAGAGAAAUCUGUGCUUCACAGUUUUCUGGAAUACUGUAUUAUGCUGCUUAGCUCUCGGGACCUUGGGCAGAGGGAUGGGAAGACAAGAAGAUGCACGUUCACCGGGGCUGAGACUGGGAGUCGAUGGUCGAGCCAGGCAGCUAUAACAAGGAAGACGGGCUGGCCCUGGUUCCUGGGUUUUAAGACAUAACCCAAGAGAAAACACACGAGCACUGUGCCAUGUGUACCUUUCCCCUGCCAUCUUUAAAUAAACACAGCAAACAGGUCCAAAAGCCCAAA